GAUGAACGCUGGCGGCGUGCUUAACACAUGCAAGUCGAACGGUGAAGCAGAGCUUGCUCUGUGGAUCAGUGGCGAACGGGUGAGUAACACGUGAGCAACCUGCCCCUGACUCUGGGAUAAGCGCUGGAAACGGCGUCUAAUACUGGAUAUGAGCUGCGACCGCAUGGUCAGCAGUUGGAAAGAUUUUUCGGUCUGGGAUGGGCUCACGGCCUAUCAGCUUGUUGGUGAGGUAAUGGCUCACCAAGGCGUCGACGGGUAGCCGGCCUGAGAGGGUGACCGGCCACACUGGGACUGAGACACGGCCCAGACUCCUACGGGAGGCAGCAGUGGGGAAUAUUGCACAAUGGGCGAAAGCCUGAUGCAGCAACGCCGCGUGAGGGAUGACGGCCUUCGGGUUGUAAACCUCUUUUAGCAGGGAAGAAGCGAAAGUGACGAUACCUGCAGAAAAAGCGCCGGCUAACUACGUG
rnacentral:rRNA from 1 species